UGGACCAUCAUAUAUUAUUGAUUCUGCGUCUAGUUCAAGUAUUUAUGCGAUGGAACACGCUUAUAAAGCUAACGUAGAGGACAAUGCGAUUACGCAAUCGUCGGUGGAUCAAAUCUUUGCCUAUAUCCAAGCGUGUCCUUGCACUUCAGCCGUUUAGGGGCGUUGGUACAAAAUUGUCGUAUGAAAUUUUUAGACGAAAAUGCAGCUGGUUACGCGCGUAGUGAAAGUAUCGCUGUAUUAUUUCUGCCAAAUGCAAAAAAUGCUAAAAGAAUCUACGCUAAGAUUUUUCAUACAAAAAGAAAUUGCGAUGGUUAUAAGGAAGAGGAAAUAAUGUUUCCUUCUAGGAAAAUACAGAGUAUUUUUUUCAAAAAAUUCUACAAAGAAUACGAUAUACCAACGACGUGUGUUUCUUACAUCGAAGCUCAUGGUACUGGAACGAAAGUCGGUGAUCCUGAAAAAAUGAAUGCCAUAGAUCAUAUUUUCACUGAAGGCAGAACUAAACCUCUUAAAGUCGGUACCAUUAAAUCAAACAUUGGUUAUACCGAAGCAGCUAGUGGAAUUAAUUCCAUCAUUAAGGCAAUAAUAUCGAUGAAGUCAAGCCUAACAUCGCUAAAUAUCAACUUUAAUCGACCACGCAAAGAUGUGAAAUGUCUUACAGAAGGGCGAAUCAAAAUUGUUACUAAGACGACUUCGUUAGAUGGUGAAUACAUAAGCAUUAAUUCUUUCCGAAUAGGGUGUGCUAAUGCUCACAUUUUACUUAAAUCAAAUCCGAAAACGAAGAUCAAUAAAGGAUUAACAAGUGACGAUUUGCUUAAACUUGUAGCUAUUUCUGGAUGCACCGAAGAAACAGUAAUAACUAUAUUAAAUGAUAUCGAUAAUCGAUCGGUAGAUAUUAAAUUUAUUCGUUUUCUUCAUGAUGUUCAUCUUAAACGAAUAUUAAAUCACUUAUAUCGAGGAUACACAAUAACUGAUCUUAAAUCAUCUAACAGAAAAAUAAGGGAGAUAAAAAAUUAUUCUGAUAUAAAGAAGCCAAUAUGGUUCGUCUUUUCUGGAAUGGGCUUGCGAUGUUUUGAAAUGGAUAUGAAAAUUUUUAUUGUAAUGUUUCUUCGUAUACAUUAAAAUCAAUAAAAAUAAUGACUAUUAUAAUGAUUAAAAGUAAUUGAGUAUAAUUUGAAAUUUACUAAGUCAAACUCUGAUGAGAUUCCCUAUAUUUGCCAAAGCAAUAGAGAAAUGUGAUAUCUUGUUAAAACCGCGUGGACUCAAUAUUUAUAAGAUUUUAACUAAAAAUGAUAAUAGAAUGUUUGAUAAUAUCUUGUACUUGUUCUUCGGAUCUGUUGCAGUUUGGAUAAUGUUGAAAAACUCUUAACUAUUUAGAAUAACAUGUUUAGAUGGGAACAUUCACACGACUGGUUCGUAACAUCUUACAAAAGGAAAGAAAAAAUUGUUUUUGGAGAAUGAAUGAUUGCAAUAUCAAUUAUCAAUGUAGAUUUCGAGUACAUAAGCGGUCACAUAGUUACUGACAAGAAUGGUUAUCAACGCAAGAGAAUCAAAAUAUGGGAAUCAUACGAAUCAUCAGAAUAUUACGAUCCUUGUCGGUCUCGAUUCGACUAAAUGAGAAUGCAAGCUUAUUGUAAAAAUAGAGAUAAAUAAAGGAUCCUUCAAUGGUAUCGCAGUUUCUUUGAGAGACAGUAUUUGUAAAAAUCAAAUGUUGAAAACUUUUGAAAAAUCUUUCAAAAGAAAAGCUUGGUCCACGAAAUGUUUAGAAAAGGUGACUAGAAAACUUUGUCCAGAUCUACGACAUUUCGUGGUCUUUUCUUCAAUCUUGUAUUGGAAAGGAAAUCCCGACCAAACAAACUACGGUAUGGCUAAUUUGAUUAUGGAAAGAAUAUGCGAAAAAAGAGUAGAAGAAAGUUUGCCUGGAUUAGCUACUCAAUGGGGUGCAAUUGGAGACUUUGGUCUUGUUGCGGACACGCAGAAUAAGCAACUUAAUGUUAUCGGUGGUACUCUACAACAAACAAUAACAUCAUGUUUAAGAGAACUCAAUCGAUUUUUACUACAGGUUAAAACUAUAGUAACUUGUAUGCUAGUUGCUAAUAAACAAGCAGAUAGCGACGGUGUGAAUAAUGUUGUUGAUACUGUCUUAAACAUUAUAGGUAUUAAAGAUUUAAAGACUGUCAGUCACCAUAGUUCUUGGCUGGAUUUAGAAUGGAUUCUAUGACGGCUGUAGAAAUAAGACAAACGUUAGAGCAUGAAUAUGAAAUAUAUCUCACACCAUAAGAUAUUUGAAGCUUAAACUUCGCCAAACUCAUGGAAAUGAAUAAUCAACUGAUAUAUAAUAAUAAUUAUAAUAAAAGUGCUAUAAAAAAAAUAUUAACUGAUACAAAAAUGUUGACACAACUAUUCGAUGAAAUACCUUCCUCCGAAAUAACUAUUCCGCUUAAAACUAAUCUAGAGGAAGGUCAGAACGAAGUAUUCUUUAUUCCAGGAAUUAAAGGAUAUGGUAGCGUUUUUGAAAAAUUAGAAUAAAAAAUUAAGUCGUCCGCGACUUGUUUUCAACUAGCUACAAAUUAUGAAUUACAAACUACAGAGGAUUGGCCAUCUCCUGAUGGCCAAUUCAUUUCUAUCAACAUAUUUUUGUGUUAAAAAAAAAAAAAGAUAUUUAAUUAAACCUAAUAUUAUUAAAUCUUACGCAUUGACAUAUUAUAUAACUUUAUAUAUUAUAGCAUAUAUUAGAAAAACUUAAAGAUCGAAGAGAUUUCACGUUAGUGGGAUAUUUGCUUGGAUCGUUUAUAACAUUGAACUGACACGUAUGUUAGAAUCCAAAAAAUUUAAAG